UUAAAAACAUCUGACUAGUAAAUUCCAUAAAUUUAAUACCAUCUACCAAAUGAAUGAAGAGUCUUACGUUCAACAACUCUUGAGAAGGCACAUGUUCGUUCAAUUAUGCACAAGUAUCGAUAUAGAUUAAAUUUUUGCUAAAACAUUUUAUUUGCUAUUUGAAUCAAGAUAAGCUAUUCCAGUUUUUAACAUACGAAGUUUGACUUUUAAAUAGUUGAAGCACAUGUUCGACAAUAUUGAUCACCAAUUCAGACAACCAAAAAAACAUGAUUGCUCUUCAUCCUCUUAAAACCAUGAUAGCUCUACUCAAAUAAAGUGACAACAUCAACUAAGCAACAAAGUGCCUGUUAUCAGGACCCAGUCCUCACCAUCACAACUAAAAUCAACUGAAUGCUUGAUGACAGCUCAAAAGGGUCUGAAGAAACCCACGGCGGAAAAGAGUACGAACUAAAAUACUACACAAACAGAGUUAGUAACAGGUGCUCGGGGAUCAGCACCGGGAGAUAAACAAACAUACAUAUAUGCUUGCUACCACAGGAAAUAGAAAUAAACAAAGUUCACUUAACCUUAGGUAAUAUAAGAAGCUGAUGCUACACGAUACCGAAACAUACCAAAACAUACCGUUCAGAGUCCCAAAAUGUGCCAUACGAAUACUCGACAGUUGAGCUUAUAUCUGGUUGCAUUGCCUUGAGAAGUAGAGAGUGAAAGUUUUAACCGCCUGGUCUUAUGGACCAGAGAUAGUAUAGGACCUGCAAAAGCGGGGAAAGAGAAAAGGCAAUAUUCAUAAUUCAUAAUUGCAUUGCAUUUGUUCAAAGUGGUAAACUGGGGUCUUUGGAAACUUGAAAUAGUAUCCUCGCGGGAAGAUUUGAGGCCCCAGUCAACGAAAGAAAGACCAAAAUUAGCAAUUUAACAUACUGGAUUCAAAGCCCACUCCAUUAUAAUAACACUAUAAAUCUACCCUGUUGGUGUAAACUGCAACAUUCAUGUCGCUAAAGGGGAUAAGCACGUAAACAAGACUGCUGCAACAAUAAAAGUAAUACAAUUACAAUUUAUGCCGGUUAAAUUUUGCUGCAUGCCCUGAGGAUCUCCAAGUUCUUAUACAGCAAAGUUAUGUAAUAAGAUUUUUAAAAAGUUCAUUCAAGAAGUAUUUGCCAGUUAAUGUGCGAGCACCACAUAAGAGCGCUACAUCAUUCAAUGACAAGAAAAGCUACUAUAACAUGCUAUCAACUA
rnacentral:lncRNA from 1 species